rnacentral:pre_miRNA from 2 species
UCUUAUGGAUGAGCAAAGAAAGUGGUUUCUUGAGAUGGAAUCUACUCCUGGUGAAGAUGCUGUAAA